rnacentral:rRNA from 1 species
CUACGGGGGGCUGCAGUGGGGAAUAUUGGACAAUGGGGGAAACCCUGAUCCAGCAAUGCCGCGUGUGUGAAGAAGGCCUGCGGGUUGUAAAGCACUUUCGGUUGGGAGGACUGCUUCUAGCACUAAUAUUGUUGGAAGUUGACGUUACCUUCAGAAGAAGCACCGGCUAACUCCGUGCCAGCAGCUGCGGUAAUACGGAGGGUGCAAGCGUUAAUCGGAAUUACUGGGCGUAAAGCGCGCGUAGGCGGCUAGAUCAGUCGGGUGUGAAAGCCCCGGGCUUAACCUGGGAACUGCAUCCGAUAAUGUCUAGCUUGAGUACAGGAGAGGAGAGUGGAAUUCCACAUGUAGCGGUGAAAUGCGUAGAUAUGUGGAGGAACACCAAUGGCGAAGGCAGCUCUCUGGCCUGAUACUGACGCUGAGGUGCGAAAGCGUGGGGAGCAAACAGGAUUAGAUACCCCGGUAGUC